GUCUUGGGCCCUAAACUCAGCAAGCGGCCUGGCUGCAGGCGUCCAGGCGCAGCCCGGAGCAUGUGUAACUCAUUACCUCUGCGAGCCUCCCAUUUGCGGCCGCGGGAUGACGCUGGAGCGUGGUGGAGUGUCUGAGGCCGCGGGGUGAGCACGACUACAGUAUUUUUCUGACACUAACACCUCUCUCUGGCCCUCAGGAAGGGCCGUGGAGGAGCCAGGCCCACACCCAGCCCUCCGCCUCCUCCGCCUCCUCCGCCUCCUGGCGCCAGACGGGAGAGGCCUACAGCUACACGGGGCGAGAGAAGCAAGGCAGCACCGAGGAAGGUGAUACAAUGGCUCUGUGAUGAGAUGAAGCAAGAAGAAUGACCCAGGCAGUGCAAUGUGGUGCUAGGCUACGACUGACUUUCUGAUAAUAGGUCAGAAGGAGGAUCAUCUGUUUCCAGACCACAGCCUGCUGCAGUUUAUACCCUCCAGUUCACACCGGGAGGCCUGGGGGAGCUCAUGGCAUGGAAUAGAGACGGUUGCUGGCAGCUGCUGUUGCAUUCUCAGGCUCCUGGUCCAUGAAGAGAAACCUUUCUCUACCACCAGCAGAAUAUGAGGCUUUUCAUGAAAAGAAGAGACUCUAGCAAGUUCCUUUGCCCCUGCUAAGGUGAGGUGAUGGCGAGAAGACCAUCAUAUAUGAACUGGGAAGUGGACCCUCACCAGCCACCAACUCUGCCUGCGCCUUGACCUUGUACUUCCAGCCUCCUGUGAGGAAUAAAUUUCUGUUGUGUAUACCCUACCUCAUUUACAGCAUUUUGUUAUAGCAUCCUGAAUAGACUAAGACAGGCUAGAGGAAAAUGGGUCACAGACAAGAGUCUUGAGUACUCAAAACUAACAAAUGAUGUAAAAAAAAAAAAAAAAAAAGACUCUUCUUUAAGCUUCAUUGCUGUGAAUAAUGACUUCAUAAUAUUGGCAAAAAUGAUUGAAGGUCAGUUACAAGUGGAUGUUACAGGUGGAUUCAAAUGUUUGUGCAUCUAAAGAUUCUUUGAAUAUUCUUCUUGGGAACUGAGUCUCUUUUCCAACCUUGGCACUUACUGCUGGUUGCUUCCCAGUGGCAUAGAGCUGGCUUGGUGUCCCGUCCUACAUCCUCAUGGCAGUCUAAGGGCCACCCCACACACUGUGUGUCGUGUCUCACAGCACUUGCUACAAGACGUGCCCAGACCUUGGCACUCCAGGAGAGCAGGGGGGAGAGACAUGCAAUACUUCUGGAAUCCUGCUGGUCGCCACGAGAAAUUAACUAACCAAACCAAGAAGGCUUUUGUGUUUUUCCAGAGACUAAGCUUUCCUCCUCAAGUUGCAAGCUACUCUUCACGCUUCCAGAUCCAAAGUACAAAUUCUUAUAAAGCGGAGACUCCAGCCCAAUGCUCUUCAGAUGUUUGUUCACGAAGGGGCAAGAGAAAGGAUC